UACGAAGGGGGCUAGCGUUGUUCGGAAUCACUGGGCGUAAAGCGCACGUAGGCGGAUCUUUAAGUCAGGGGUGAAAUCCCGAGGCUCAACCUCGGAACUGCCUUUGAUACUGGGGAUCUCGAGUCCGGGAGAGGUGAGUGGAACUGCGAGUGUAGAGGUGAAAUUCGUAGAUAUUCGCAAGAACACCAGUGGCGAAGGCGGCUCACUGGCCCGGAACUGACGCUGAGGUGCGAAAGCGUGGGGAGCACACAGG
rnacentral:rRNA from 1 species